GUCCGGGUGGCGGAAUGGCAGACGCGCUAGCUUGAGGUGCUAGUGCCCUUUAUCGGGCGUGGGGGUUCAAGUCCCCC
rfam:Streptomyces sp. F-1 isolate Streptomyces sp. F1 genome assembly, contig: gnlCTBESTEPF1_56